rnacentral:rRNA from 1 species
GAUGAACGCUGACAGAAUGCUUAACACAUGCAAGUCAACUUGGACUUCGGUUUGGGUGGCGGACGGGUGAGUAACGCGUAAAGAACUUGCCUCACAGAUAGGGACAACAUUUGGAAACGAAUGCUAAUACCUGAUAUCAUGAUUUUAGGGCAUCCUAGAAUUAUGAAAGCUAUAUGCACUGUGAGAGAGCUUUGCGUCCCAUUAGCUAGUUGGAGAGGUAACGGCUCACCAAGGCGAUGAUGGGUAGCCGGCCUGAGAGGGUGAUCGGCCACAAGGGGACUGAGACACGGCCCUUACUCCUACGGGAGGCAGCAGUGGGGAAUAUUGGACAAUGGACCAAGAGUCUGAUCCAGCAAUUCUGUGUGCACGAUGAAGUUUUUCGGAAUGUAAAGUGCUUUCAGUUGGGAAGAAAAAAAUGACGGUACCAACAGAAGAAGUGACGGCUAAAUACGUGCCAGCAGCCGCGGUAAUACGUAUGUCACAAGCGUUAUCCGGAUUUAUUGGGCGUAAAGCGCGUCUAGGUGGUUAUGUAAGUCUGAUGUGAAAAUGCAGGGCUCAACUCUGUAUUGCGUUGGAAACUGUGUAACUAGAGUACUGGAGAGGUAAGCGGAACUACAAGUGUAGAGGUGAAAUUCGUAGAUAUUUGUAGGAAUGCCGAUGGGGAAGCCAGCUUACUGGACAGAUACUGACGCUGAAGCGCGAAAGCGUGGGUAGCAAACAGG